ensembl:snRNA U6 U6 spliceosomal RNA
GUGCUCACUUCAGCAGCACAUAUAUUAAAACUAGAAUGAUAAAGAGAUUAGCAUGGCCCUUAUGUAGAAUAACAUGUAAACUGGUGAAGCAUUCUGUAUUUUU